rnacentral:tRNA from 2 species
GCGCAAGUGGCGGAAUCGGCAGACGCGCCAGCCUUAGGAGCUGGUGCCUUCGGGCGUGCGGGUUCAAGUCCCGCCUUGCGCACCA